rnacentral:lncRNA from 1 species
GAAUUUAAUUGCUUAUUAUUACUGAGGUAGAUGUUAUAUCAUAAUAGAGAAAGUGUAGAGCUACUAUGUUGUCGAAAGUAUAGGGAAUUUGAUGCAUCCGACUUUUUAAUCUUUAGAUCAAGAAUUAUACGAUUGGGAUGAUUGCGGUCCCUCUAGGAUUGAGUAGUACUUCUAAGAUUGAGUGGUCCCCACAGGAUAAUAGUAUUAAUCCAAAUAUUAGAAAUGAUUAAAGGGAUUAAUCUAAGGGCUAAAUAAUCGGAAGCACCAGAUCUGAUAACGGUCAUGAGAUUUGAAGGUUAUUAAUAUGUUAUUAGAUGUCUGUUUCAUUAGAGGAAAAAAAAAAAGAAAAAACUUCAAAUACCACUCCUGUGGUUUUGCACUUUCUCAUUUUGGUAUUCUGUGAUUUAAAAUGUAUCGAUUUAGUAUCCCGUGGUUUUAUUUUUCUCUUUUUAUUAUCCAUUUCACUAAUUUUUUUCGUUAAAUCAGUAACAAAGUUAAAACUAAAAGGUACUAAAGUGAAUAUUCGAUAAAUCUAGGUAGAGUAUCCGAAAUUUUUUGUAUAUAAUUUAAUGAAAUGUUAACGGAGUAGCUGACGAAAAGAGAAUAAUAAAACCACAGAAUACUAAAUUGAUACACUUUAAAUUACAGAGUACUAAAGUGAUAAAGUAUGAAACUAUAGGGAUUGUAUUUGAAGUUUGCCAAAAAAAAAAAAAAAAUCUUAUGA